UUUCUGCAGGUUAAUACGUUUGGCCUCUUUUGUCGACUGCUGCACACUAUACAAAAUUUAUUGGGAAAUGAAAUCAUUCCUCCCAUUUAAACUAAGGAAAAUAUCGCCUGAUCGGAGUUGAAAUAUAGUUCUUUGUUACGUUUUUGGAUCCGUAAUUUAAACACAACAAAACAGGUGUCUGCUGACACGCUUGAUAUAGCAACGCAAGAACUGCAGCAGACUCUGGAUAAUUUGCACUCCUGGUUACUGAAAUGGAACAUCGUAAUAAAUGCAGUCAAAUCGACAAACACCACUUUCACUCUAAGAGCAGGCAUCUCUCCACCUGUUUUGAUAAAUGGCACAGUCAUACCACAGAAUACAUACCCAUACAUACAUAUGUACAUACCCUUCACACCGAGCUGACAUGGAAAGAAAACGUUAACCCAUUAGCUGUUACUCCACAUAUCAACGUCGCCGGCCUAAAAGAUGGAUGGCAUCCUCUUGAGAGUUCAAUAAAAAUUCUAUAAACAAUAUCCCCACUUCAUUAAAAUACAUCAUCCAUAGACCAAACUAACACCUAAAUUCACAAUACAGCAACAUCCCACGAUAUCAGAUCAACAUACUAAAACUGUUUAUUUACAACUGAUAUAUGUAAAUAAAAAAAAAAUAAAAUAAAUUCGGUCAAAUGUUGAAACAUUGUUCGCCACAAAAAUGAUAUUUAAACUAUUAAAACUUGCAAUCGUAACUACCAUUUUCUUUAUUGGUGUAAAAUAAAUUGCCAAAAAUGUUAUACAGAGGGAAUAGUUUUUUCUAUAGCCGAGGGCAACCAACUACAUUAUUCCUCUUUGACGUUAUUAAUUUUAAAUACAGACUCUUAGCGAAACGAAAACUAGUCCAUUGAAUUGCUAAAACAACGUCAUCAAGAAAAGCGCGUAUUGCGCGCUUUGCUAAGGGAUAUAUUAAUAUAUUUAAAUAUAUAUAAUAAGAAAUAAGUCUCCCUUAAAGAUAGAUUUAUAGAUUUGGUGCUAAUAAAUGUCUUAAAAACUUAAA